UACAGAGGGUGCAAGCGUUAAUCGGAAUUACUGGGCGUAAAGCGUGCGUAGACGGUCAUGUAAGUCGGGUGUGAAAGCCCCGGGCUCAACCUGGGAAUUGCAUUCGAGACUGCAUGGCUAGGGUGCGGAAGAGGGAAGCGGAAUUUCCGGUGUAGCGGUGAAAUGCGUAGAUAUCGGAAGGAACACCAGUGGCGAAGGCGGCAUUCUGGACCGAUAUUGACGCUGAGGAGCGAAAGCCAGGGGAGCAAACGGG
rnacentral:rRNA from 1 species